UGUAGUGGGCCGGAUGGUGUACACCCACGAUUCAUGACCACCCAGGACCUCAAACUGUGAUCUUAUUGGAAUAAGGGUCUUUGCAGAUGUGAUUAGGGUGAAAGAUUGAGAUGAAAUCGUAUUGGAUUAGGGUGAACUCUAAGUCCAGUGAAAAUUAUAAGAGAUAGAAGAAGAGAAAAUCAGGGAAGAAGAAUGCAAGGUUGGGGGAGAGAUCGGAGGGUACAUCUGCAAGCCAAGGAAUGCCAAGAAUUGCAGGCGGCCGCCAGAGCUGGGAAAGAGGCCUACCAUGGGGUCUCCCUCAGAGCCUCCAGAAAGAACAAACCCCGCUGAGACCUUGAUUUUGGACCUUUGGCCACAGAACUGUGAGAGAAUAGAUUUCCGUUGUUUUAACACACCCAGUGUGCGGUCGUUUGUUGUGGUGACACAGAAAAUGAAUGCAGAUUUCUAUCUUAAGCCUGUGCAAAUUCUAGAUUUGUUAGGUAAUGGAAGGAUGCAGAUAGAUUUUGUUCUGGAAGGCUAAGCUAGCUGCAAACGUUCUCAUGAUCUUAACCCACACAAACCUGUAUAUGCCAGGAAUGUCAAUACAGUGAACACAGAGAGCAGUGUAACAGUACAAGCAUUUGGGGGUGAGUUUUUUUCUCUGAAAACCAGUUUCUGUGAACCCGGGCAACCACUUUUCUGACCUGUGACCUUGUGUUUCCUCCGUGACUGUAGCCGGUAGUCCCCAGGGGCCAGGGAUCCCUGACUUCUCAGCCUGAAUGAAAUCCUUUCCCUGGGACUUUGGAACUGGAAUUCAAAGCCAUCGGUCAGUUUUUGCUGGUUCUUAAGCAAAGGACACAUCAAGUUGGGAGGACUCGGUUGGCCAUGAACUGACGACAUGGAGAACCUGCAGAGAGAGAGGAAAAGAAGCAGACAUACAGAGACCGGUUAAAAAGACUGCAGAGCCCUAGAGAAUAAGGACCAAGGGACUAUCGGCCCUAGAGAAUGAGGACCAAGGGAUCCAUGGCCCUAGAGAAUAAGGACCAAGGGACUAUCGGCCCUAGAGAAUGAGGACCAAGGGAUUCAUGGCCCCAGAGAAUAAGGACCAAGGGAUUACCGCCUCAGAGAAUGAGGACCAAGGGAUUCACAGCCCUAGAGAAGGAGGACCAAGGGAUUACCAGCCUUAUUGCUAAUCCAGGUCAUCGAGGAGCCCUUUAACUGCUUGCUGGUCACCACUGAGGUAGCCUGGGGGUGGUGGUGGGAGUAGAGGCUCUGCAGCCAGAUGGCUUAGGGUGAACUACUUGACCUUCUGGUUUCUCACUGUGGCUGGGACUACACAGCAGCACCCCCAUCACCUCUUCCUUGGAUUAAAUGUAAAAAGCACUUAGGAUGAAGUAAGGUGAAGAACAGAGGUUCAGUGAGAUAAAUUAAGAAUAGAAGUAUGAUGAACUGAAUCAGGUCCUAGAGGUUCAAAGAAUCAAGUCACAUGAUAGAGCGUGGGAAGUAUGACAACCAGGAGAGGCGCUGCCAACCAGAAACCUCCUUCGAUAGAAGCAGCUCUGCUUUCUGUCCACCUAGCAGUUGGACAUUCCAUUUCAAGGGAUCUGAUACUGACACAAAUUUGAAAGCCAUUGGAUUUGGUUCUAUCUCUAAACAGUCUAAGAUAAUACCCCAUGAGUCUGCAAUCUGAACGAGCCUAACAGAGGCAAGAGCUGUUUUAUCUACCUAACAUUUUGCGUGUUUUCAGACUUAGAAUCAGAUAACGUUUCUUCGAGACCAGAUAGAAAGCUUGGCUGAGUGCACAGGCAGGAAGGGACCUUGCAGAGGAGCCCCCAGGGAUCAAUUCCUUUCUCAUGAAAUCACCCAGUCACUCCUCAGGUAUUAAAGAGUCGGGUAGCUAGUCCUCCACCCCCCUAGCCCCCCAGUGUUGACCCUCCUAAUUUGACAGUAGCAGAACAGUGGUGGUGAAUUCCAGGCAGAGUCAAGAGGGAGCCUGAGCCCCAGUUCUCCCAUCUGCACCCCCUGCUCCCCUGGCAGCUCCACCGACCCUGGCAGGGGACCUGAUAGACCAGAAUUUUAUUUCUCUUAGGUCAGACCCUGCAACGUUGCCAUGUUCCUGGCAAUCCACCCCAUCAUCCACAGGCUCAGCUCGUGGAUGCAGAGGUACCCCCUUCUCGGCUUCUGGUGCUGAGGGGAGAGCAGGCCAGUUUUUCCUCGGUGCCUGCACAGCUCCCCUGAGUCCUGUUUGCAGGGUCUGCUGCCUUGAAACUUGGGGUGCCUGCCUACUGGGUGCCGUAUAUCCUCGACAGUGCAUGCAACUCCUAGGGUGGCGUGGAGGGAGAGUGGUUUAUUACAAACUUGGCUCUGUUACAAACAGAAAGGAUUUAUGUAUAAGGUUCAAAAUUGUUAUUUUUAGAGUCAGUAACGCGAACAAUCCCAAUACUUUCUGGAGACUCUUCCUUAGGGUCAAGGUGAGCAGCGCUGGACCGCCUGAGCCCUCCCACCCAGCGGCCUCCAGCCUCCCCUUCACAUUCCACCCCCCACUCUGCUGCGGAGCCAAGGAUCCCAAAUGUAAAUCCAAUCGUGCCACCUUCUGCCUCCUUCAAAGGAUUGCCACCGACCUCUGAAUAAAGUACAAGUUCUUUAGCAGAACAGGGAAGACCAGCUUUAUUUUGCUCCAUUCAUCCUGCACCUUUGGUUCCUGCCUUCCCAUAUCACCCAGCUGAGGGUCAGGACCUGAAGUCUCACCCCAGCUGCAGAGUAUCAGGAGAAGGGCUAUUUUUUUUUCUUUAAAGCAUAGUCAUGUGUUUCUCAAAUCUUCCCACAACAAAAUCAAUGAAUGUCUUUAUUAAAAAUAAUGCUUUAAUAACAGAAUGAAUAUUUAUGGCCAGGCAUUAGGUUGUAUGUUCUAAGUUAACUCAUUUAAUCAUUCAUUAAAACAACCUUAAAAGGAAAGUGCUCACUCUUUCUUCUUUCUUUUUCUUUCUUUUUUUUUUUUUCUUUCUUCUUUUUUCUCUCUCUGUCUCUCUCUCUUUUUCUUUCUCUUUUCUUUUCCUCUUUUGAGGUAAGUGCUAUUUCCAACUUCAUCUGCUGGAUGAGAAACUGAGCCUAUAGGGUAAAUAAUCAUUUGCGUUCACAAGCAGCAAAGGCAGGUUUCAAGUCCAGCAGCCACGUUCCACAAGCCACCCUCUUUACCAUGCUCCCAGGUAGUCUCUCACUAAAAAUGCAGAUU